rnacentral:rRNA from 1 species
GAUGAACGCUGGCGGCGUGCCUAAUACAUGCAAGUCGAGCGAAUGGAUUGAGAGCUUGCUCUUAUGAAGUUAGCGGCGGACGGGUGAGUAACACGUGGGUAACCUGCCCAUAAGACUGGGAUAACUCCGGGAAACCGGGGCUAAUACCGGAUAACAUUUUGAACCGCAUGGUUCGAAAUUGAAAGGCGGCUUCGGCUGUCACUUAUGGAUGGACCAGGGUCGCAUUAGCUAGUUGGUGAGGUAACGGCUCACCAAGGCAACGAUGCGGAGCCGACCUGAGAGGGUGAUCGGCCACACUGGGACUGAGACACGGCCCAGACUCCUACGGGAGGCAGCAGUAGGGAAUCUUCCGCAAUGGACGAAAGUCUGACGGAGCAACGCCGCGUGAGUGAUGAAGGCUUUCGGGUCGUAAAACUCUGUUGUUAGGGAAGAACAAGUGCUAGUUGAAUAAGCUGGCACCUUGACGGUACCUAACCAGAAAGCCACGGCUAACUACGUGCCAGCAGCCGCAGUAA